CUAGUUUUGAAUCUUGGUACUUUCUCUCGACACAGGAGAGGGAAGACUUCCCUUUCCUUGUGGGAUGCAAUGGUCACCUAGAGAUCAUUUCUGCCGAAUUGAGUAGGAAAGUGUCCUAAGUUGUAUCACUGCUGGCAAUGCUGAACCUUUCUAUGACUUGUCACUAAGCUUUGGUGGUGGCCUGCAGGUGAGAAGGUGGGAGGGCUGGUGCCUGUUUGUCCUCUCUGGGCAGCAUCUACCCAGCUUCCCAGCACUCAGGGCAACGAAGGGUGAGGAGGAAGAAUCUUCUUGAGUGAGAAGAGCAGCAAACCUGCAGGUUCCACAGUGCAAAUCUCUUCUGAGUGUCUCCCUGCUGACCCUCUGGCAUGGGUCACGGCUCACUGGGACAGCAGAUCCCAGGGCAGGACCCAGGGCUUGAGGUGACACAUGCUAAAGCCUCUAUUCUGUGUCUUUGCUCACUCUCAGGGCAUUGCCCAACCUAUAUGAGCUGGUGGGCUCCUGCUGGUUGGAUUUUGCAGCAGGGAAGAAAAGGAGAAGCUCUGCUGCUCAUCCCUGUGAUAAGCUGGUGUGUGUACUGGACACUAUUUUUAAACUUUCUGGAGGCAGAUGUGGGUAUGUGUGAGCAUGGGGCUGAUGAUGGGGAAAAUCUUUCCCUGUUUCCAACUGGAGAAGAACUCCCAGUGGUUCAUGAUGCUCUCACUGUACCAUGCCUUGCUGGGAGGCACUGUCCUCUCUUCCCCACGAGCUGAGAAACUUCAUACCUUGUGCCCUGCCAACUCCACCACUUUUCAGCAUCCAGCUGUAGAAGAAAUUGGGACUCAGGCCAGUACAAGAAAUGGAUUUUAUAUCUUGCGUAUAAAAGCUAGCAAGAGAAGAGUUGUUUCAGUGAAAUAGUGAUGCUUACACCAAGCAUGCCCCUCUCCCUUGUCUUAGGUGGUCUCUCCAUCUGUACAGGUGAGUAGUGGGUUUUUUUUCCCUUCUUGUGGGGCCAGGGAGGAAGCCCUGACAUCCCUGGAGGAACAUUAGCUUCUCCAAGUGUCAGAACUGGCUAAAAGCAGGAGGAGGCUGGAGAAAAUGUUGUCUGGGCUUUAAGGGUGACUUUGGUUUGCAAAUGCAGCCAUGCUGUUCUGAGCAUGUCCAGAGCCAGUGGGAUAGAUGCUCUUCAGAUACCAUGUUGUAGCUCACCUGGGUGACAUUGGAUGUAGCAAGCUCCAUAUGUGCAGAAUCACAGUUUGGUGAGCUUGGGGGUCGCAGAGCUGGUUCAAGAAGGGAUAUGUGGGAACUCUUCAGGAACAAGCUUCUCUCAAGCCAAGCCAUAGCCUAUGAAAUGAAAUUAGCUCUGGGCCUCUGAGCAUGGCUUAGCUGGGCAGGUUGGCUAAUUACACUGACUUUCUCAUGUUAAAACUCGUAGGACUGGUUAAAAUGACUACAGAUUUUUAACUACCUGCUUUUCCUCACUGAACAGCAGGUCUUUUCACUGCUUUCUAUGUUAGCCAGAUAACAUAGAUAGAAAUGUUUUUCCUACUUAAUCUGACAUUUUCAGUGUCUGCUGCACACCCUAGAUAGUUUAGUGGAAAUGAUUUCUUCUGUGAGAUGCUGAGAGAAUAAUGAAACAUGAUAUUUCUACACCUCUGACACAGUGUUUGCCCAGCAUGAACAAAACUAUCUGGGAUACCAGUUUGAUAGGAAAUUGGAGAACUGACAAGAAACUUGUUUGCUCUGUGCUCUGUAAACUACUUUCCAGAUGUAGGAAAAGUAAGGAAUUCAGAUAUUAGAGGAUAAGGGAUCUGGAAGGGUCAGAUUCACCAGAGAAGAGACCUGCUGUAAACCUAAUUUUUCACUUGGUUGCAAAGAGUGUCAGCUCAAUGCUAACAGCAGAGCUUCUCAGCUGAUAAUGGGGGGAGAGGUGGGAGGAAAAAUGACAGGUUUUAAGGUGCUCCAGUGAGCAUCCUCCAUCUAUUAACAGAGCCAGUUCGAUUGGGAGAUAGUGAGAGUGAGCAGUGAGUGUGAAAUUAAGCACUGGCCCCAGACUGACAUGUUUUGGUCACAUUCCACUGCACUUGGUUUGAGAUACUGACACAGGCAAGCAAGGUUUAUAUAUUUAGUUUUACUUUUUCAUUUUUAUAGAGAAUGUUGAGGGAACCCCUACCACUGGGGAAGAUGCUGCAUGAUGGCAUCUGAAACCAACACUGAAACUGCAGAUGUGACCAGAUGUCCCUUUGGGCUGCUCUUCCCUGGGCUUGAUCAUUAGUAUCUGCAUUUUACUGUGGCAUUUGUAUUAUCUUGUGGAAGAUACAGUUUCACAAGUCUUCCUGAAACACAGAUGUCUGACCAUCACACUUGUGCCUCCCAGGAAGAGAGAAAAAGGCACUGCUGCUGCACAUGGUAUGGUUAACAGGGAGGAGCAGGGCAAGCGACAGUAUCGGAUGAAUUUCCAGCAUGGAAAAGUGCUCUCUGGGUCCCCCAGAUCCCUGGGACUAAGUUAAGCCUUCCUUUCUCAACUCUUGUAGCCUUGUACAUGUAACAUAAAUUAUUUCCACAGGGGGUCAGCAUCUUACAGGAGAUGUGCAGGAAUGGGAGACAGUCUGGUUUCCCACCCUCAGCAAAAGGAAGACAGCACCAAGCACCGGCCACAGCCCUGUUCAUUAUCCCUGCAGCACCAAAAUAAUUCUUUCGGGAGCCCCUUUACUGUGCAGCCAUCUUCUGCAAAGUGCUCUGCAUCUGUCGCUGCCUGGAGCUGUGUACAUAGUGCUGGCAGCAGCCGUGAUCUGACAGUCCAGGAGCAGGGAAAGACUGAAAAUCAGACUAUGAGAAAGGGAAAUUGACUGGAAGGCAAGCCAAGGAGGAGCAGAGAAAUAUGGCAAACAUGGUGAUGGAGAGACCCACUGGAGCAGGGAAUGCCAAGGAGAACAUAAAGAAGCAGCUGAUUUAUGACCACCUGGUGAGAAGACAGAUAGAAGAUGGUCUGGGAAGCUUUUGGAGGAGUGUCCUGUGGAUUAUAAGUGGAGGGAUGCAGGAAAGUGCAUGGAAACCUUCCUGCCCUUUUCCACACAACUGGAAGAAAAAAAGUGGAAUUGAGCAGGUCAGUGUAAAAUGCUGCCACAUCAACAGUCCUACAGCUUAUGGGGUCUCCUCAGGAGCAAGGAGCCACCACAUCUGAGACUUUGCCAUGCAUUUACUCAGGCAUGGCCAGCGUUAUUAAACUUUUGAUCUGGCUUCUUUACAAUACGUUAAAAUGUCUUUAUUACACUCAAUGGUGCA